CACAUGAAGGGCAAGGCCCUCUUUCUCUCUCUCUCUCUCUCUCUCUUCUAUAUAACCCAACAAGCAUAAUAGCCAGCUCUCCUCAUCAUCCUUGAUCAAACUCAAGAGUCAAGACCAAGCAAUAAUUUCAAGUUUUCAAGUAGUUCAAUUAUGUCUGCAGUGGUGGAGGUUUGGAUGAGCGAGUUGGCAAAGCUGAAAGACAAGGUAGGAGCGAAUGGUGUUUUCAUCAAAGGGCAAACAAGGAGAGGGUGAUGAUGAGGUUGAAGAAGAACAAGUGUUGAAAGAAGCAAGAAAAGAGCGCAGCAGAAUGGCUCAGACUCAGAGGGACUUGGAUUCCUCUACGCUUUCAGAGGCCACAGUCUGUUUGCUUAUGGACCGGUUUGUGCCUUGGUGAACACCUUGUAAACAUGUUUAAAAUAUUAGUCUAAUCUUGCAUAUAUAUAAAUGUACUAUUAAUUUGAAGUGUAUUUGUUUUUUGUUUUUCCAUUUUAAUCAUAUUUUUGCAAGCUAUUAGCGGAUGAAUUAAUGGUUCUUACAUUUGGAUUUAAAGAAAUUAUAUAUAAACCAAAAGUUUAAUUAUUGC
rnacentral:lncRNA from 1 species